rnacentral:rRNA from 1 species
GCAUAUCAAUAAGCGAGAAAAGAACCACAGGGAUUGCCUCAGUAACGGCGAGUGAAGCGGCAACAGCUCAAAUUUGAAAUCUGACCCUUCGGGUCCGAGUUGUAAUUUGUAGAGGAUGUUUCGGGUAAGAUCGAGGCCUAAGUUCCUUGGAACAGGACGUCGUGGAGGGUGAGAAUCCCGUAUGCGGCCCACGAUCGCACCCAUGUGAAACUCCUUCGACGAGUCGAGUUGUUUGGGAAUGCAGCUCAAAAUGGGUGGUAAAUUUCAUCUAAAGCUAAAUAUUGGCCAGAGACCGAUAGCGCACAAGUAGAGUGAUCGAAAGAUGAAAAGCACUUUGAAAAGAGAGUUAAACAGCAUGUGAAAUUGUUGAAAGGGAAGCGCUUGCGACCAGACUUGUUCGCGGGGUUCAGCCACCGUUCUCGGUGGUGUACUUCCCCGUGUCAGGCCAGCAUCAGUUCGGGCGGGAGGUCAAAGACCGCGGGAAGGUGCCAUCCUCCGGGAUGCCUUAUAGCCCGUGGUGUCAUGCUCCCAGCCCGGACUGAGGAACGCGCUUCGGCUCGGAUGCUGGCGUAAUGGUUGCAAGCGACCCGUCUUGAAACACGGACCAAGGAGUCUAACAUCUAUGCGAGUAUUUGGGUGUCAAACCCACAUGCGCAAUGAAAGUGAACGGAGGUGGGAGUCUUCGGAUGCACCAUCGACCGAUCCUGAUGUCUUCGGAUGGAUUUGAGUAAGAGCAUAGCUGUUGGGACCCGAAAGAUGGUGAACUAUGCCUGAAUAGGGUGAAGCCAGAGGAAACUCUGGUGGAGGCUCGCAGCGGUUCUGACGUGCAAAUCGAUCGUCAAAUUUGGGUAUAGGGUACGUUUUACAAUUUUUUUUUGUUUCCCUCUUGGCCCGUGCAAGGAUUAAUUUGAACAACACGCUAACAUUUCUGCGUGUUACAGGGCGAAAGACUAAUCGAAACCAUCUGGUAGCUGGGUCUGGCGAAG